AUGGUUUCGCUGUCGACUUGGUUCCGCUACGCCGCCCACAAGUUCGAGUACUCCAUCUCCCUCUCCUGGAAGAAGUACACCGUCGGGCAGAUCAACAGCACUGAGAUGACUGAUGCUAUCUGGAAGAGCUUCUUCCAGGGCAAGCUCACCUUCCCGCAGUGGAUCAAAGGGGGCGAAGCCAUGGCCCCCGUCGUGGCUCCGACCGGAGGAACCGUUCUCGUCAGAAAGCUCGCCACUUUAUCCCCAAAAGAACUCUUUGUUGGGGACAUCGUCUUGUUGAAGGACCCAGAGAAAUCCGAUGAUUUAAUUGUCCGACGACUGGCUGCAGUGCAAGGCUAUGAGAUGGUCUCUACUGAUGAGAAGGAUGAGCCCUUUGUACUUGACAAGGACGAAUGCUGGGUCACGGCGGAUAACCAAGAACUAAAGGCAAAGGAAGCUAGGGACAGCCGCCUAUUUGGGCCGGUCCCUAUGACUGAUAUUGUUGGGAGAGUUAUAUACUCUUUAAGAACUGCUGUUGAUCAUGGCCCAGUGGACAACAGCCGUGUAGCCAUGUUCCAGGAUUUGCCGGUUUUGGCGGUAGAGCUCGACGUGGAAGAGAUGGUGAAGAACAAUAAAAUGUAG
rnacentral:rRNA from 1 species